AAUAGAUACCCGGGUAGUCCACGCCGUAAACGAUGGGUACUAGGUGUAGGGGGUAUCGACUCCCCCUGUGCCGCCGUUAACACAAUAAGUACCCCGCCUGGGGAGUACGGUCGCAAGAUUAAAACUCAAAGGAAUUGACGGGGGCCCGCACAAGCAGCGGAGCAUGUGGUUUAAUUCGAAGCAACGCGAAGAACCUUACCUAGACUUGACAUCUCCUGCAUUACUCUUAAUCGAGGAAGUUCUCCCUUCGGGGAGGACAGGAAGACAGGUGGUGCAUGGUUGUCGUCAGCUCGUGUCGUGAGAUGUUGGGUUAAGUCCCGCAACGAGCGCAACCCUUAUUGUUAGUUGCUACCAUUUAGUUGAGCACUCUAGCAAGACUGCCGUGGUUAACGCGGAGGAAGGUGGGGAUGACGUCAAAUCAUCAUGCCCCUUAUGUCUAGGGCUACACACGUGCUACAAUGGCGAGUACAAAGAGACGCAAAGCCGCGAGGUGGAGCAAAACUUAUAAAACUCGUCUCAGUUCGGAUUGCAGGCUGAAACUCG
rnacentral:rRNA from 1 species